AUAGCGCGUUGACACCCGAUUAAUUCUAAAGGUUUUGCCCGUAUAGCCUAUUUUUUUGCGUUUAACGCGAUUAACAAGUUUUACAUUAAAUAAAUUUUAUUCUGCUUCAUGUAAACGCUGGUUGGCGGAACUCUAUCGAUGUUUUUGGGUUCAUAACGUUCACUGUAGUGACAUAUAAACAUAACGCACCAUAUAUAAACAACAGCGAUUUCGGUCAGUGAUUGCGUUACGGAUGAAGGACAUCUUAGCGCCUCAUUUGGCCUAAUCCUGCUGCCGCAGAGGGUGGAUGGUGGUUGGUGGUAAAGCAGGGUGAGAGGGACUCAAAGGACCAUGAGGACAGGCACUCUCCCUUGCUUAUGGUGGAUUAUGAUCUUUAGGGCUUACAGUAUGAGGAUGAGGCGGAUGGGAUGGCCUUGGGGAAAUGGAAGCCUGUGCACUCAUGGAG